AAGCGCUUACAACCAGACUUGUGAAUUGCAGUUCUACCUGGGUUUUCCCAGGCUUAUUCUGUUUUUCCAGGCCAGCAUCAGUUUGGGUGGUUAGUUAAAGGCUUAGGGAAUGUAUCUACUCUUCGGGGUCGACUUAUAGCCCUAGGUGUCAUGUAACCUACCUGGACUGAGGAACGCGCAUCUGCUCGGAUGCUGGCGUAAUGGUUGUCAGCGA
rnacentral:rRNA from 1 species